UACGUAGGGAGCGAGCGUUGUCCGGAUUCAUUGGGCGUAAAGCGCGCGUAGGCGGUUUGGUAAGUCGGAUGUGAAAUCCCGAGGCUCAACCUCAGGACUGCAUCCGAUACUGCCCGACUAGAGGUAGGUAGGGGAGAUCGGAAUUCCAGGUGUAGCGGUGAAAUGCGUAGAUAUCUGGAGGAAUACCGGUGGCGAAGGCGGCAUCCUGGACCGAGAUUGACACUGAGGAGCGAAAGCCAGGGGAGCAAACGGG
rnacentral:rRNA from 1 species